rnacentral:rRNA from 1 species
UGCGAGUUGAAUGUCCGAGAGGGCAUAGCGCACUGCUCAGUAACACGUGGACAACCUGCCCUGAGGACUGGAAUAAUCCCGGGAAACUGGGGGUAAUUCCAGAUAAGCCAGGAUUUCUGGAAUGGGUUCUGGCAGAAAGGCUCCGGCGCCUCAGGAUGGGUCUGCGGCCUAUCAGGGUAGUAGUGGGUGUAACGUACCUACUAGCCUACGACGGGUACGGGUUGUGAGAGCAAGAGCCCGGAGAUGGAUUCUGAGACAUGAAUCCAGGCCCUACGGGGUGCAGCAGGCGCGAAAACUUUACAAUGCGGGCAACCGCGAUAAGGGGACCUCGAGUGCUGGGUUACAAACCUGGCUGUUGGGCUGCCUAAAAAGCAGUCUAUAGCAAGGGCCGGGCAAGACCGGUGCCAGCCGCCGCGGUAACACCGGCGGCUCGAGUGGUAACCGCUAUUAUUGGGUCUAAAGGGUCUGUAGCCUGCCGGCUAAGUCUCUUGGGAAAUCUGGCAUCUCAAGUGUCAGGCUGCCAGGGGAUACUGGUCGGCUUGGGACCGGGAGAGGUGAGAGGUACCUCAGGGGUAGGGGUGAAAUCUUGUAAUCCUUGAGGGACCACCAGUGGCGAAGGCGUCUCACCAGAACGGAUCCGACGGCAAGGGACGAAAGCUAGGGGCACGAACCGGAUUAGAUACCCGGGUAGUCCUAGCCGUAAACGAUACUCGCUAGGUGUCGGCCACGGUGCGACCGUGGUCGGUGCCGUAGGGAAGCCGUG